CUUUCAUUUAGCUUAGUGCUUUCAAGGUUCCUGAUGUCGUAGCGUGAAUGAACACUCCACUCAUUGUCAUGGUUGAAUAAUAACCCAGUGUGUGGAUAGAGCACAUUCUGUUGAUCAGUUGAAGGAUUGCUGACUGCUAACGAAGGACGCUGCUACGACCACUCGUGUACGAGUUUUUGCGUGGACAUAUGUGUUCAGACUCUUGCCUGGUCGUGGAAUUGCAGAGUCGUGUGAUAACUCUAUGUUUAACAUUUUGGGGAACUGCCAGACUCUUUUCCAAGGUGGCUGCACCAUUUGACAAUCCCACGAGCAGGGUAGGAGAGGUCCAGUUUCUCCCCAUCCUUGCCAACACUUGUUGUUGUCUGUCUACUUGAUCAAGGGCACCCAUUGGGUGUAAAGUUUUGUCUCGUUGUGGUUUUGAUUCACGUUUCCCUGAUGGCUGAUGAUGUGAGCAUCUUUUCCUGUGCUUAUUGGCAGCCUCAGUAAGUUUAGCUUGGAAUUAAAAUGGUCCAGUUCAGGGAUUUUCACACUUGCUUGAGCCUUAGAACUCUUUCUUCAGAUCAGAGUUUACAGGAAAAUCUAACACACAAAACAAAGAAACCCGGAGCUGGGGGUCCCUGUGAGUGAAGCGGGGAGAGGGACCCACAGCUGGAGCCGCUCUGCCCCACAUCUCCCCAGAGCCUGCCUUCAAGAGCGAGGCCCCUGACACUAUGAGAACUUGGGAAAGCAUAGUUUGAACCCACUAAUUAGGACAACAUCACAAGAUAACUGAUAAGACCAGGCGGUAAACACUGGAGCAUCUUAAGUGGAGCUUAUGAGAGACACCGAUCCUGAGCUCACGCUGCCGAGCCCCACAAGAGUUCCUGACCCAAAGAAACUGAGAGACAACAAACGCUUAUUGUUGCUUUAAAUCUCUAAGUUUUAGAGUAAUUUGUUGUGUAGCAAUAGAAAACAAAUGCACAAGAAUAGAGUACUAUGAAAAAAGAACAUUUAUAGAACAUAAAAGAGCUCUUGGAAAUUCCAUGCACAAAAGUGGAAAUAAUAAAUUCAAUAGAUAGUUGGAAAUAAAGUUGAGGAAAUGUUCCAGAAAGAAGAGCUAAAAGACAAUGAGAUGGGAAAUGGGAGAGAAAACAUUACCCCUGGAGCAUCAAGCUCAUGAAAAAUAGCAGUUCUUGUUAGAAAGAAGAGAGAAAACAGGGGUCAGAAAAUCCUUACUGAAAUAGUCCAAGAAAAUUUCUCCAAACUGAACUGAAAUACACUUCAGUUACCAAGUUCAAAGGGCACAGCAAGUGCCCACAACAAUGUCUGAAAAUAGAAAUACACUAAGGUACAUCAUGGUCAACUUUCAGAACACCGAGGAUAAAGAGACCCUACGAGCCUGUGUGAAUACACAGACAGAGGGACCUGUCCUAACGAUCAGAAAUGAAAAUAGCUUCAGACCCUCGUUGGUGGAGCAUAGCUUCCUCAGAAAGAAUAUGUGGAAGAACCUUCUUAAAACAUUUUGGCUACCCCGUGGAGACUGUCUGCAGAGGGCAAAGGAGGGACACCCGGAGACGAGCUGAGGGGUUAAUGUGGUGCCCUUGCCACCUCCAAGGCCUUCAGAGGGUCCCUCGAGUGGUCUACUACCAGAGAGCCUUCCUGGAUACCACCUCUUUCUUCCAUGUUCAUGUGUCCCUUUCUCCAGAAGGACCUAAUUUUUCCCUUCUUUGAACUCCUCACAGAUCCAUUCAUUCAUUCAUUCAUUUCCUGUUGGUUUUUUAAAUUAAGGUUUAUUGAACAACCACUAUGCUCCAGACCCUGAGAUUUAAUAUGAGCAAUAAAGAGAAAUAAAAACUUCUCUUAUGGCACUUAUCUCAGACUGUGUUAUAUUAUAGUCGAUCAUAC
rnacentral:lncRNA from 1 species